GGAAGUAAAAGUCGUAACAAGAUUUCCGUAGGUGAACCUGCGGAAGGAUCAUUCAUAAUAAGUGUUUUAUGGCACUUUUUUAAAUCCAUAUCCACCUUGUGUGCAAUGUCAGGGUUGAUUUUUCUCUCGAGAGGAUCAACCCCAAACAUCAACUAUAUCUCAACUCUUUGUCUGAAAAAUAUUAUGAAUAAAACAAUUCAAAAUACAACUUUCAACAACGGACCUCUUGGCUCUC
rnacentral:misc_RNA from 1 species